UUUACGCUCCACCCGUUGUGGUGCUCCCCCGCCAAUUCCUUUAAAUUUCAGCCUUGCGGCCGUACUUCCCAGGUGGCUCGCUUCACGGCUUCCCUACGGCACCGACAACGGUCGCACCGUGGCCGACACCUAGCGAGUAUCGUUUACGGCUAGGACUACCCGGGUAUCUAAUCCGGUUCGUGCCCCUAGCUUUCGUCCCUUGCCGUCAGGUCCGUUCUGGUGAGACGCCUUCGCCACUGGUGGUCCUUCAAGGAUUACAAGAUUUCACCCCUACCCCUGAAGUACCUCUCGCCUCUCCCGGCCUCGAGCCGAACAGUAUCUCCUGAAAGCCCAACAGUUGAGCUGCUGGAUUUCUCAAGAGACUUAUCCGGCCGGCUACAGACCCUUUAGACCCAAUAAUAACGGUUACCACUUGAGCCGCCGGUGUUACCGCGGCGGCUGGCACCGGUCUUGCCCGGCCCUUGCUAUGCAAUGCUUUUUAGGCAUCACGACAGCCAGAUUUGUAACCUGGCACUCGAGGUCCCCUUAUCGCCGUUGCCGGCAUUGUAAAGUUUUCGCGCCUGCUGCACCCCGUAGGGCCUGGAUUCGUGUCUCAGAAUCCAUCUCCGGGCUCUUGCUCUCACAACCCGUACCCGUCGUAGGCUAGUAGGUACGCUACACCCACUACUACCUGAUAGGCCGCAGACCCAUCCUCUGGCGCCGGAGCUUUCGAUCUCGGGGCAUUCCAGCGACCGAGAUCUAUCGGGGAUUAUACCCAGUUUCCCGGGUUUAUACCCGUCCGGAGGGUAGGUUGUCCACGUGUUACUGAGCAGUACGCCAUGUAUUGCUACAUUCGACUCGCAUGGCUUAGUCGAACCUCGAUAGCAGUAACCUCC
rnacentral:rRNA from 1 species